rnacentral:lncRNA from 1 species
GAACACACCAAGCAGCUAUCAGUGUGAACUAUCAGGUUGUCACCUUAUUUCAUCCAGGAGGUAAGCACAUGGCAAGUCCAUGCCUUUCCUAUCAAUCUAUCUGAAAAUCAGAAUUCAGAAAAGAGACGGUUAUCCCUGGGACAUGUGUGAAUUAUUCUUGGCCUGGCUCAUGCUCCAUCAUUUCUCAAGGAUUUCGGCUCCCAGCCCACUGACUCUCUCCAGUCCUAUCUUGUAUGUCCUGGAGAUUUUAAAAUACAGUAAGCACGCUUUUUGGAACACCUCAUUUCCACUGCCACACCGUAUCCACCUGCCCCACGGUCUUAUACUAGACUUCGUUAUUACCAAUAAUUUCAAUCCCACCAUAACCUCAGUUCCCACCACCUCCUGCCUUUCCAGCUUACCCACUAGAACCUCAAUUCCACUUAGCCAUGGACCCCACCAGAUCCUGCCAUCUGCUGACGUUAUCUUUUCUUCACUGGCCUCACUCCUCCUGCUCCCCUUCUUACCCACCUUCAAUUUCAUGGCCAGUCAUUGUGGUCACCCCCUUGUACACGUCUUCAAUUUCUUAUCUUUUUGCUUUGCCAUAGCAAGAUAUGAGCUGAGGAGCAUAAGGCAACUGGCAGAGGCAACAAGACCACCACAGUGUUCCAGGAACUCUGUGCAUUCACCUUCAAGGGGAAUUUCGCUGGCAGUCCCCAGGCUCAGAAACUGACUUGUGAGGUCUCGAUCAGACACAAAUAAGGUCCACUCGCCUUCCCACACUGUGGUUUCACGUGCAAAGCCUGUGAGGAGAGUUUUCUGGGAAACUUCAUGUUCCGUUUCCAGCUCUGAGCUUCACUGUGUAGAAAGCAGAUGGAUGCAGGUUCGAAUUCUGGUUUUAUCUCUUAGCAACUGUGAGACCCCGGGUAGUUUAUUUAAGCUUUCUGAACCUCCAUUUUCUCACCUAUAUGGGGAGAAAGAUAUUUACCUCUCAAAUUUUAGUGAGUUUUUUUUGUGUGUGUGUGAUGGAGUCUCGCUCUGCUGCCAGGCUAGAGUGCAGUGGCACGAUCUCGGCUCACUGCAACCUCCACCUCCCAGGUUCAAGCAAUUCUCCUGCCUCUGCCUCCCAAGUAACUGGGACUACAGGUGUGUGCCACCACACCCAGCUAAUUUUUGUAUUUUUAGUAGAGACAGGGUUUCAUUAUGUUGGCCAGGAUGGUCUCAAUCUCUUGACCUCGUGAUUCGCCUGACUCGGCCUCCCAAAGUGCUGGGAUUACAGGCGUGAGCUGCUGGACCUGGCCUUAGAGAGGUUUUAAUGACUUGCACUUAGUACCCUGCUGGGCAAGUUAAUACUAACUCCUGUCUGUUGACCCCAACCCCCUCUGCUUAUGCGUAUGCAGAGCCACAAAGGAAUUCACAGAAAACAUUCCACUGCUAUAUGCUGAAGCUGAAAACCUUGAGAACCUCU